CCUACGGGAGGCAGCAGUGGGGAAUAUUGGGCAAUGGAGGCAACUCUGACCCAGCAACGCCGCGUGAAUGAUGAAGGUCUUCGGAUUGUAAAGUUCUGUGAUGGGGGAUGAACACAAUGACGGUACCUGACCAAGAAGCCCCGGCUAACUACGUGCCAGCAGCCGCGGUAAUACGGAAGGUCCGGGCGUUAUCCGGAUUUAUUGGGUUUACAGGGAGCGUAGGCCGGUCUUUAAGCGUGCCGUGAAAUUUUGUGGCUCAACCAUGAGAGUGCGGCGCGAACUGGAGACCUUGAGAGCGCGGAAGGCAGGCGGAAUGCGUGGUGUAGCGGUGAAAUGCUUAGAUAUCACGAAGAACCCCGAUUGCGAAGGCAGCCUGCCGAAGCGUUACUGACGCUGAAGCUCGAAAGCGUGGGUAUCGAACAGGAUUAGAUACCCGUGUAGUC
rnacentral:rRNA from 1 species